rnacentral:rRNA from 1 species
UUCGUUGGGUAGGGGAGCGUUCUGUAAGCCUGUGAAGGUGUGUCGUGAGGCAUGCUGGAGGUAUCAGAAGUGCGAAUGCUGACAUAAGUAACGAUAAAGCGGGUGAAAAGCCCGCUCGCCGGAAGACCAAGGGUUCCUGUCCAACGUUAAUCGGGGCAGGGUGAGUCGACCCCUAAGGCGAGGCCGAAAGGCGUAGUCGAUGGGAAACGGGUUAAUAUUCCCGUACUUGGUGUUACUGCGAAGGGGGGACGGAGAAGGCUAUGUUGGCCGGGCGACGGUUGUCCCGGUUUAAGCGUGUAGGUGUGUGUUCCAGGUAAAUCCGGUUCACUUUAACACUGAGGCGUGACGACGAGGCACUACGGUGCUGAAGCAACAAAUGCCCUGCUUCCAGGAAAAGCCUCUAAGCAUCAGGUAACAUCAAAUCGUACCCCAAACCGACACAGGUGGUCAGGUAGAGAAUACCAAGGCGCUUGAGAGAACUCGGGUGAAGGAACUAGGCAAAAUGGUGCCGUAACUUCGGGAGAAGGCACGCUGACACGUAGGUGAAGUGAUUUACUCAUGGAGCUGAAGUCAGUCGAAGAUACCAGCUGGCUGCAACUGUUUAUUAAAAACACAGCACUGUGCAAACACGAAAGUGGACGUAUACGGUGUGACGCCUGCCCGGUGCCGGAAGGUUAAUUGAUGGGGUCAGCGCAAGCGAAGCUCCUGAUCGAAGCCCCGGUAAACGGCGGCCGUAACUAUAACGGUCCUAAGGUAGCGAAAUUCCUUGUCGGGUAAGUUCCGACCUGCACGAAUGGCGUAAUGAUGGCCAGGCUGUCUCCACCCGAGACUCAGUGAAAUUGAACUCGCUGUGAAGAUGCAGUGUACCCGCGGCAAGACGGAAAGACCCCGUGAACCUUUACUAUAGCUUGACACUGAACAUUGAGCCUUGAUGUGUAGGAUAGGUGGGAGGCUUUGAAGUGUGGACGCCAGUCUGCAUGGAGCCGACCUUGAAAUACCACCCUUUAAUGUUUGAUGUUCUAACGUGGACCCGUAAUCCGGGUUGCGGACAGUGUCUGGUGGGUAGUUUGACUGGGGCGGUCUCCUCCUAAAGAGUAACGGAGGAGCACGAAGGUUGGCUAAUCCUGGUCGGACAUCAGGAGGUUAGUGCAAUGGCAUAAGCCAGCUUGACUGCGAGCGUGACGGCGCGAGCAGGUGCGAAAG